AGAGUCCCUCUCCUUCCGGGAAGCCCGCGGCCGCCCCGGCCUCCACGCAAGCACCCGAGCGUUACUUUCGUUUCCGCGGCAAACGUCUGGAGGCCCGGGUGAGGGAAGAAGCGGCGGCGGAGGGUUGGGGAUUACUCCGACGCCGCGGCAGCCUUGCCCGGGCGUGCUGGGGGAGGGCGCGCGAACCCCGACCAGGGGGGUCACCGGGACUGAGCCCGGCGGCCUCCGGAAUGUUCCCCGCGCGGUGCCAGUCCGCUCACCGCGCCCUUCUCCGUGGCCGCGCCGUCCAGCCAAGUCCUGCCGCGCUCCGUCGGCCCCGCCCGGAUGGCCGCGCUCUGGCGCCCCAGCUGUGGGUCCCCUGGAGUCGCCGCGCUCCGGCAGCUGGCCCGCCGUCCGCGUCGAGCGCGCCCGGCUGGAGGGCGUGGACUGUUCGCGCUGCCUCCUCCCCCUGCCCCGGCCCUUGCCGGGGAGGAGGACCGCGAGAGCGCCGCCCCGCCGCUCGUGGGACCUCGCGCCCGGGGUCUGAGUCCCGGAGCUCUCUUGCGGGCUAGAGGAUCGCGGACUUUGUUUUCAAGCGAGUGGGGCGGCCUACGUAAAAGAGGAAACCGAAACCUCCGCGCGCACGAGAGGGAGAAGGGUCUGGAGGGAAGCACUGGGUGGAUUACAGCGGGGGCGCUAUCCGGAGGAUUCAGAGCUCUGCGGGUUAGCAUAGGCAAGUUAGCAUUCCUCUACCUUCAUCUGUAAAGUGGGGCUGUUGAGGAGGAAAUGUGAUUAUUUUGCAGCCCUUUAAAAUGGUAAUUGUGAAGUCUCGAGCAAAGUUGGAACUGCAUGCUAUUCAUGUAUAUUAAAAAUCAAAUAAUAAAAUUAUAUGCACAUCAGGCCGGGCGCGGUUGUUCACGCCUGUAAUCCCAGCACUUUGGGAAGCCAAGGCGGGCGGAUCACUUGAGGUCAGCAGUUCGAGACCAGCCUGGCCAACAUGGUGAAACCCCAUCUCUACUAAAAAAUACAAAAAUCAACUGGGCGUGGUGGCGGGCACCAGCAAUCCCAGCUACUCGGGAGGCUGAGGCAGGAGAAUCCCUUGAACCUGGGAGGUGGAGAUUGUAGUGAGCCGAGAUCGCGCCACUGCACUCCAGCCUGGGUGACAAGAGCAAGAUUCCGUCUCAAAAGGAAAAAAAAAAAAAGCACAACAGGAUUACAUACUGUGAAAAGAUAUGUAUGUCAAGAGAACUAGCCACGUUCACAACACGAGCCACAGACUGGGAGAAAAUAUUUGCAAAAGACAUAUCUGAUAAAGCACUGUGACCCAAAAUAUACCAAAAAAAACCCUCUUAAAAUGCAACAAUAUGAAAAUGUACAACUUGAUUAAAGGCGGGCAAAAGCUCUGAACAUACACCUCACCAUAUGUAUAUGCAUAUGAAAAGAUGCUCAACAUCAUGUCAUUAAAGAAUUGCAAUUUAAAAAAACAAAUACUAUUACACAUUUAUUAGAAUGGCUAAAAUUCAGAACACUGACAACAACAAAUGUUGAUGAGGAUCUGGAGCACAAGGAACUCCCAUACAUUCCUAGUGGGAAUGCCUAAUGUUAGAGUCUGGAAGACAUUUUGGCAAUUUCUUAACCAAGCUCUUCUUACCAUAAGAUGAAGCAACUCCACACCUUGGUAUUUACCCAAACGAGUUGAAAGCUUAUGCCCAUACAAACACCUGUACAAGAAUGUCUAUAGCAGCUUUAUUCAUAAUUGCCAAAACUUGAGGGCAUCCAAGAUAUCACUUAAUGGGUGGACAGAUAAGCUGUGGUACAUCUAUACAAUGGAAUAUUAAGUGCUAAAAAGAAAUGAGCUCUGAAGCCACAAAAAAAAAAAAAAAAAAAAAAAUCCUGGAGCAAUCCUAAAUGUAUAAAUCUAAGUGAAAGAAGCCAAUCUGAGAAGACUACAUAAUGCAUGAUUCCAACUAUGUGACAUUCUGGAAAAGGAAAAACUACGGAGAUAGUAAAAAAGAUCAGCGGCUGCCAGGGAUUUGCAGGGAAGGAGGGAUGGAUAGGUGAGGCACAAGGGAUUUUUAGGGCAGUGGAGUCUGACGUUACAGGGUUGGGUACAUCUCUAUACAUUUGUCAAAUGUAUCUUGAAUAUACACAAAGAGCAAAACCUAACAAACUCCGGACUUUGGCUGAUAAUGUAUAUGUUUUAUCCAUAUUGGUUCAUUUUUGUAACCAUGAAUCUAUGUUGGUUUAUCAGGUGUGACAAAUAUUCCACAGUAAUGCAGGAUGUUGAUGGUAGGGGAGGCUGUACAGUCCAGGAUGUUUGUGGAAGGGGAUAUUUUCUUUCUGCUUAGUUUUGCUGUAAACCAAAACAGCUCUAAAACAAAGUCUAUUCAUUAUUUUUUAAAAGAUGUACACAUAUCAAAAAAGACGAAAGGCAGAGCUAUUCACUCAGCAAAGCUUUCUAUCUACUGUAUGCCAAGCAGGUACUAGAUACAAGAGCAUCUGGUGAUAGAUACAAGAAAUACAAAAAGGAAUUCAUUCCUUCAGUAAAUAUUUACUGAGCACCUGUUCUAGGCACUGAAGACUCGGUUGUGAAUUAAACACAAAAAAUCUCUAUGUUCUGGCCGUGUGUAGUGGCUCACACCUGUAAUCCUAGCACUUUGGGAGGCCAAGUCGGGCGGAUUGCCUGAGCUCAGGGGUUCCGGACCAGCCUGGCAAACAUGAUGAAACCUCGUCUCUACUAAAAAUACAAAAAUUAGCUGGGCGUGGUGGUGCAUGCCUGUAGACCCAGCUACUCAGGAGGCUGAGGCGGGAGAAUUGCUUGAACCCAGAAGGCGGAGGUUGCAGUGAGCCAAGAUUGCUCCAGCCUGGGUGACAGAGCCAGACUCCGUCUCAAAAAACAAUAAAAAAUAAAAAACUCCACGUUCCAUUCGUGGAGCUUGCAUUCUAAUGGGGAAGACAAAAAGUUAUUGCCCAUCACUGUCCUCUAGACAUCAUGUGACCUUGGGAGGUUGGAAAUGCGUUGUUUUUGCUUCAUUUUGUGUUCAGUGUUUUAACUCAGAAACAUCUAUUUGGGAGCUUUACUCAUUACUCCCAGCAAAAGCCAUGAGUGUAGACUGUGCAUGAGAUGAAGGAACUGGUCCUUGCAGAACACCAGAAUGGAAAAGGCAAGAAACAGCCCAAGGUGAGGAAAGAAAACCAGCGAGAACAAAGAGCUGGUACUAUCUCUGAAGCCCGUGGAGGCCAAAGUGUGAAUAUGAGGGGGUAGGUCUCUUGGCCACAGGCCUGAAACCAAAUGAACCCCCACCCCCAGGCUGCAGUUCCCAGUGCACUUGGAAAUGAGACCCUGACUCCUCCAGGUGAGCCUGGGAGACCUCCCUGACUCCUUUCCAUCUCCCCCUCCUCCCCCACACCCAUCUCCAAGGCCUGCCCUCUACGCCCACAUUUCUUCCCACUUUGGAUCCUGUGCCUGGUCUAAUGCCCAGGCCCCCUCCCGAGCCUCUGGUCUCCCUAGAGCCACUCCCCACUGUCGGGACACCUCAUCUGUGCUCCCCAAAACGCCACGCAAAGCACUGGAGAGCCUUGGACAAUGAACACAACCCGCACCCCCAGCCACCCCCGCCACAGCCG
rnacentral:lncRNA from 1 species